AAACUGAAGAGUUUGAUCCUGGCUCAGAUUGAACGCUGGCGGCAUGCCUUACACAUGCAAGUCGAACGGCAGCACGGGUGCUUGCACCUGGUGGCGAGUGGCGAACGGGUGAGUAAUACAUCGGAACAUGUCCUGUAGUGGGGGAUAGCCCGGCGAAAGCCGGAUUAAUACCGCAUACGAUCUACGGAUGAAAGCGGGGGACCUUCGGGCCUCGCGCUAUAGGGUUGGCCGAUGGCUGAUUAGCUAGUUGGUGGGGUAAAGGCCUACCAAGGCGACGAUCAGUAGCUGGUCUGAGAGGACGACCAGCCACACUGGGACUGAGACACGGCCCAGACUCCUACGGGAGGCAGCAGUGGGGAAUUUUGGACAAUGGGCGAAAGCCUGAUCCAGCAAUGCCGCGUGUGUGAAGAAGGCCUUCGGGUUGUAAAGCACUUUUGUCCGGAAAGAAAUCCUUGAUUCUAAUACAGUCGGGGGAUGACGGUACCGGAAGAAUAAGCACCGGCUAACUACGUGCCAGCAGCCGCGGUAAUACGUAGGGUGCGAGCGUUAAUCGGAAUUACUGGGCGUAAAGCGUGCGCAGGCGG
rnacentral:rRNA from 1 species